rnacentral:rRNA from 1 species
GGGGCUGAAAAGCGGCGGCCCAAUCUUAUGCAAAUGGGCCACGCUGGGGAAGCCAGCCUAGGGCCGGCCUAGUCAGCCAAUUGGAUAAGGAGCAAGCGGCCAGGGAUUGCGAUCCCCAGCCAGCAUCCAUCCCCAAUCCUCACGACCGACGCGGGCGGCGACUGCCAUGGCCGGUCGGCCGUUUCUCCGGCAACUCGUGGAGAGACCACGGCCCGAGCGGAGCGCCGCCGAGCCUCGCGUUGGAGGCCGGAGAAGGCUGCGCCAGAGGACUCCGGGGAGGGCGUGCCGGCUCGAUUGGGCACAGGCGAAGACGCCCACGGCCGGUCGGCCGCACCACCGGCGGCAAGAGGAUCUCCCGCCCCGCUCGUCCUCGGAGUAGGCGCGACGCCGCGCGGACGGGCGCGGGCGCUCCACACGGGCGAGCGCGAAGAGGUGGCCGCAUCCUGCAGCGUGGUGGCCGCAUCCAACGGCGCGGGCGGACGCAGCGCGGUGGCCGCGUCCUGUGGCGCAGUGGCCGUUCUGUCCCGUGGAGGAGCAGCCAAGGUGCAUGGUUGGGGCACCGCUAGGGAUGUUGACAAAAAACAGCAGCAGUUGCCGCUCGAUCCGGUGCAAGAGGAAGUGAACGCAUGCCAUGGUACCUUUUCUUCUUCUUCUUUGUUUGCAUCUCUCAAUCGAUGGGCACUCCUCUGUUUUCACUUGCUCUUCCCUGAUCUUCUUUUCUGUUACCUUCCCUGAUUGAGAGACUCGCCGGGCAUGGCUUGCUGUGGAAAAGCCUCACCGGUAUGCCGUGAACAGGUCGUGGCCAUGUACGGCGCGAGGCUGCCGCUUGGAAGCGCUUCCGGCGGGCCGAGAACCACUGUGGUAGCGGGCGCCACCACGGCGAACCAAGGGCUGUAGCCGUCAAACUCGCGGGCGAUUGUUAGCGCCCCUGACCAGCAUACCCCACCUGCCAUUCCAUCAUCAAGGCCCAGGCGUGCCCCCAGGCCCAACCCACGCUACGUUGGCCCAGAAUGGAGGAACCAGUGGCCCAAGAGCAAGGGUGUACUUGAGCCGGCGCCCGGGGCUGGCUAGGGCAUCCAGAGGAUCACGGCACCUGGCGGCUACCAACUCCCGAUCCCCUUUCCUCUUCCUCAUCCCUAGAACCCUAGCUACUUCCGAUUCGUGUAAUCGCUACCAAAUCCUAUAUCUGUGAGUGAGAUUGCCACCAAUAUUCGAGAUACAACUGUGUCCCUUACACUUGGUAUCAGUCGCCACCACCACCCUCCCCGCCGCGCGUUCUGGCUCACUUCGUCGAGACGCGCCGACUCCGUCAAG